rnacentral:lncRNA from 1 species
AAUGACUUUUGUUGUUCUUUUUUGUUUGUUUACUGAUUUGGCUGAACACAGAACACUUCUUGGAAAUCUUUUUUUCCCAAGAAUGGUACUUUGGCACAUGAAAUAAUCUGGCUUAAAAAAAAAAAAAACACAUUUCCAGUACUUUUGUCCCAAUGGAAGGAAAAAAAAAAGGGUAAGGGAAGGCUGGAUUCCUCACUUGUUGAAGAACUGGCAAAACAAAUCUUUUUAUUAAAGAGAAAAAAAAAAAAAGGGAAACUUGAUAAUGAUACUACAGACUUUUUUUUUCAGUGGAUUCAUCUUCUUGAUGACAUUUGGAAGGAUAGUCAGAUCUGAAGUCUGCUGAGCUUUGCUGGCUGUGAGCUACAUGCAAUGUAUGUGGCCCAUCAAACCAUAGGUGCCUGUGAUAGGAAAUGUACUCCUAGGUGAGUCUGCUUCUGAUCCUAGACUUAGCCCAGUUUUAUUAAUACCAGAUUUGGUGCAGAAUUCACUCACAGUCCUCAAUGUGAUGAGCUCUUCAAGAAAGCAGUGGAGAGGGA